GCCUCUGUAGCUCAGUUGGUUAGAGCGCCGCACCGGAAUCGCAGGGCCGUAGGUUCAAUUCCUACCAGAGGAC
rnacentral:tRNA from 1 species